UCCCUGGUGGCUCAGUGGUAAAGACGUUUGCCUGCAAAGCAGGUAAUCCAGGUUCAGUCCCUGGGUUGGGAA
rnacentral:tRNA from 1 species